rnacentral:ncRNA from 2 species
CCUUCGCGACUUGUUUCAGGUGCUCUGUGGCCAUGGGUCGACAGGGUGAAACAGGGAAGCCGGUGAGUGCGUGUUCCGAACAGGAACGGGCGACGAUUCCGGCGCUGCCCCCGCAACGGUAAGUGAGUCAAGACCGCGCUUGGUGCCACUGUGUCGAACCGACAUGGGAAGGCGCGCGGUUCGGCAUUAGUGCUGCUCACAAGCCCGGAGACCGGCCUGAUCCAUCCAACGGCA